AUUGAACGCUGGCGGCAGGCCUAACACAUGCAAGUCGAGCGGAUGAAGGGAGCUUGCUCCUGGAUUCAGCGGCGGACGGGUGAGUAAUGCCUAGGAAUCUGCCUGGUAGUGGGGGAUAACGUCCGGAAACGGGCGCUAAUACCGCAUACGUCCUGAGGGAGAAAGUGGGGGAUCUUCGGACCUCACGCUAUCAGAUGAGCCUAGGUCGGAUUAGCUAGCUGGUGGGGUAAAGGCCUACCAAGGCGACGAUCCGUAACUGGUCUGAGAGGAUGAUCAGUCACACUGGAACUGAGACACGGUCCAGACGCCUACGGGAGGCAGCAGUGGGGAAUAUUGGACAAUAGGCGAAAGCCUGAUCCAGCCAUGCCGCGUGUGUGAAGAAGGUCUUCGGAUUGUAAAGCACUUUAAGUUGGGAGGAAGGGCAGUAAGUUAAUACCUUGCUGUUUUGACGUUACCAACAGAAUAAGCACCGGCUAACUUCGUG
rnacentral:rRNA from 1 species